AGAGUUUGAUCCUGGCUCAGGACGAACGCUGGCGGCGUGCCUAACACAUGCAAGUCGAACGAAACUUUUUGCUUCGGUAGAAAGUUUAGUGGCGGACGGGUGAGUAACGCGUGAGGAACCUGCCUUUCAGAGGGGGAUAAUGUCUGGAAACGGACACUAAUACCGCAUGACAUUUUCUGUUCACAUGGACAGAAAAUCAAAGGAGCAAUCUGCUGAAAGAUGGACUCGCGUCCGAUUAGCUAGAUGGUGAGAUAAUAGCCCACCAUGGCGACGAUCGGUAGCCGGACUGAGAGGUUGAACGGCCACAUUGGGACUGAGACACGGCCCAGACUCCUACGGGAGGCAGCAGUGGGGGAUAUUGCACAAUGGAGGAAACUCUGAUGCAGCAACGCCGCGUGAGGGAAGACGGUCUUCGGAUUGUAAACUUAUGUCCUCGGUGACGAUAAUGACGGUAGCCGAGGAGGAAGCUCCGGCUAACUACGUGCCAGCAGCCGCGGUAAUACGUAGGGAGCGAGCGUUGUCCGGAUUUACUGGGUGUAAAGGGUGCGUAGGCGGCUGAACAAGUCAGCUGUGAAAACCAUCGGCUCAACUGAUGGAUUGCACUUGAAACUGUGCAGCUUGAGUGAAGUAGAGGCAGGCGGAAUUCCCGGUGUAGCGGUGAAAUGCGUAGAGAUCGGGAGGAACACCAGUGGCGAAGGCGGCCUGCUGGGCUUUAACUGACGCUGAGGCACGAAAGCAUGGGUAGCAAACAGGAUUAGAUACCCUGGUAGUCCAUGCCGUAAACGAUGAUUACUAGGUGUGGGGGGUCUGACCCCUUCCGUGCCGGAGUUAACACAAUAAGUAAUCCACCUGGGGAGUACGACCGCAAGGUUGAAACUCAAAGGAAUUGACGGGGGCCCGCAC
rnacentral:rRNA from 1 species